UGGGGAAUAUUGCACAAUGGAGGGAACUCUGAUGCAGCGACGCCGCGUGAACGAAGAAGGCUUUCGAGUCGUAAAGUUCUUUUAUAUGGGAAGAUAAUGACGGUACCAUAAGAAGAAGCCCCGGCUAACUACGUGCCAGCAGCCGCGGUAAUACGUAGGGGGCUAGCGUUGUCCGGAAUCACUGGGCGUAAAGGGUUCGCAGGCGGAAAUGCAAGUCAGGUGUAAAAGGCAGUAGCUUAACUACUGUAAGCAUUUGAAACUGCAUAUCUUGAGAAGAGUAGAGGUAAGUGGAAUUUUUAGUGUAGCGGUGAAAUGCGUAGAUAUUAAAAAGAAUACCGGUGGCGAAAGCGACUUACUGGGCUCAUUCUGACGCUGAGGAACGAAAGCGUGGGUAGCAAACAGG
rnacentral:rRNA from 1 species